UACGGAGGGUGCAAGCGUUAUCCGGAUUCACUGGGUUUAAAGGGUGCGUAGGUGGGCAGUUAAGUCAGUGGUGAAAUCUCCGGGCUCAACCCGGAAACUGCCUUGAUACUAUCUGUCUUGAAUAUCGUGGAGGUAAGCGGAAUAUGUCAUGUAGCGGUGAAAUGCUUAGAUAUGACAUAGAACACCAAUUGCGAAGGCAGCUUACUACCCGAAUAUUGACACUGAGGCACGAAAAGCGUGGGGGAUCAAACAGGG
rnacentral:rRNA from 1 species